CAAGCUGGGGGAGUGGAAGAGGAAGAAGCAGGCUCCCAGUGGAGGAGCCUGAUGUGGGGCUCGAUCCCAGAACGCUGGGAUCACGCCCUGAGCCGAAGGCAGAUGAUUAACGACUGUGCUACCCAUGUGCCCCUCUCACCAGUAUUUCUGAUUCUUCUCCUUUUCAAGGGAGGUCUUGGUAGAAGUGCCUGAAGAGGACCUCAGGGAAGACCCCAGAUUAAGAGACUUGGAAAUCCAGAUUUUAUUUAUUUAUUUGACAGAGAUAGAGACAGCCAGCGAGAGAGGGAACACAAGCAGGG